GGCGAGGGGAGUGAAAAAGAACCUGAAACCGUGUACGUACAAGCAGUGGGAGCACAGGUUUACCUGUGUGACUGCGUACCUUUUGUAUAAUGGGUCAGCGACUUAUAUUCUGUAGCAAGGUUAACCGUAUAGGGGAGCCGUAGGGAAACCGAGUCUUAACCGGGCGUUAAGUUGCAGGGUAUAGACCCGAAACCCGGUGAUCUAGCCAUGGGCAGGUUGAAGGUUGGGUAACACUAACUGGAGGACCGUACCGACUAAUGUUGAUAUAUUAGCGGAUGACCUGUGGCU
rnacentral:rRNA from 1 species